UAUGGUACUCCUUAAGCUAACAGGCCCCUGUCACCAUUAGCUUAAGGAGUACCAGAUC
ensembl:miRNA MIR5579 microRNA 5579